rnacentral:rRNA from 1 species
AACGAACGCUGGCGGCAUGCCUAACACAUGCAAGUCGAACGAGACCUUCGGGCCUAGUGGCGCACGGGUGCGUAACGCGUGGGAACCUGCCUUUAGGUUCGGAAUAACUCAGAGAAAUUUGAGCUAAUACCGGAUAAUGUCUUCGGACCAAAGAUUUAUCGCCUUUAGAUGGGCCCGCGUUGGAUUAGCUAGUUGGUGGGGUAAAGGCCUACCAAGGCGACGAUCCAUAGCUGGUCUGAGAGGAUGAUCAGCCACACUGGGACUGAGGCACGGCCCAGACUCCUACGGGAGGCAGCAGUGGGGAAUAUUGGACAAUGGGCGAAAGCCUGAUCCAGCAAUGCCGCGUGAGUGAUGAAGGCCUUAGGGUUGUAAAGCUCUUUUACCCGAGAUGAUAAUGACAGUAUCGGGAGAAUAAGCUCCGGCUAACUCCGUGCCAGCCGCCGCAGUAA